rnacentral:rRNA from 1 species
GGACUACAGGGGUUUCUAAUCCUGUUUGCUCCCCACGCUUUCGCAUCUCAGCGUCAGUGAUGGACCAGUUGGCCGCCUUCGCCACUGGUGUUCUUGCGAAUAUCUACGAAUUUCACCUCUACACUCGCAGUUCCACCAACCUCUUCCAUACUCGAGCCAGACAGUAUCGAAGGCAGUUCCAGGGUUGAGCCCUGGGAUUUCACCCCCGACUUGAAUGGCCGCCUACAUGCGCUUUACGCCCAGUAAUUCCGAACAACGCUAGCCCCCUUCGUAUUACCGCGGCUGCUGGCAC